GUGAGAGGCCCGCGGCCCUAUCAAGCUUGGUGGGUGGGGUAUGGGCCAACCAAGGCGACGACGGGUUAGCUGGUCUGAGAGGACGGCCAGCCACACUGGGACUGAGACACGGCCCCGAAUUCUUCGGGAGGCAGCCAGUGGGGGAUUUUGCCACUAAUGCGCGAAAGCGUGACGCAGCGACGCCGCGUGGGGGAUGAAGGCCUUCGGGUUGUAAACCCCUUUCAGCAGGGACGAACGGAAACUGACGGUACCUGCAGAUGAGGUCCCCCC
rnacentral:rRNA from 1 species